CCUGGGGUUGUUUAGUCUGGAGAAGAGAAGGCUCAGGGGAGAACUUAUUACUCUCGGUAGGACAUGAGAGUGAGGAGAGAUUAUAUAUUUCAUCUGGGAAUACAAAGAGUCUAUGGCAAGACAAAAAUGAAUGAUGGUCUCCCAGAUAUAGCUGAACAGUCAGCAAAAGAUGCAUCUCAGGCCCAGUUAAGUCCUUAAUGUGAAUUUGUGAAAUGUCAAUGUGCAUCAUUCAUCUGUGUGUUACUCCUGAAGAGCAUUUGUUUGUUCCUUUGCUACUUAUAAAGACUUUUCUCUUCUUUUGUAGUGUUGGCCCCAGCACUUCACUGAUGAAUGAAGACUCCUGGCUCGUAUUUCUUUCUAGGUCUAAUGAUAAAGACCCAAUUCUGUUAGAUCUUUUCACUCUGUCUUCUAAAAAACAAGUAAACACUUAACUCAGCUGAAUUGCAACUUAACAGCUGACUGCGCAGGCCCAUGCAAAUCAAAAUGAAAUCUUAAAAAUGCAGAUGGAGUCAUCAGAGUGCUAAUUAGUAAUUUGGCUGCUGCCUCUCCACUCUAGAUCUUCACUUUAAUUGCAAAACAGGGGGAAGGAAGUAUCUUAGGGUCAUACUCCACCUGGCCUUCCCAGGGGAGUGAGCAUGAAGCACUCUUUUUGUACUUGGAUAGGAUCUGUGCUGCCUCCAGGAAAGCAGUACAAAGGCUCUGUCUCCAGGAAGGAAAUACCUGCCUGAAGUUCCCAGCUCAUAGCAUGUCAGCAGUGAUCACUAUGGCAGAAAGACAUGCAAACACCUUCAUCUCGCUGUCAUCAACAAAAGCAAAGGUACAAAGGCUACCAUGCACCCACCUCUCCAUGUGACCCCUCUAGCCAACAGAACAGCCCACUCCUCAAUGAAAGAGGAUAGUUUUACCUUUUCAAAAAGCAUCCAUGCCCACACAGCCUCUGCAUCCUGGCAUCUUAUGUGAAGAAAUAUUCUGCAUUCAUGAGGCAAGUUUUCCUUGAACUGGCACGACUCCAUCUGCCAUCACCGUUGCAGUCCUCUUCACCAUCAGGGACAGGAGCUGCUAUCAUCUUUAGUAUCUUUGCAAACAUUCCUUUUUCCUUGUGAAAGAAAAGCUUAAUAGUGCUUUGGAAAAAAACAACUGUGCUAUUUGAUUACACUUUUUGGAUUACACCUCCUUUUUGUGUUAAAGCUCUGUCUUAAUUGCUACAUAACCAUCAUUCCAGCUUUAUGCCCACCUGUAAAAAACUUACAAAGUUUUUUAAGGGAGUUAAUAAAGGCACUUUCAAUUUUUUAUUA